UACGUAGGGUGCAGGCGUUGAUCGGAAUUACUGGGCGUAAAGCGUGCGCAGGCGGUUUGCUAAGACAGGGGUGAAAUCCCCGGGCUUAACCUGGGAACUGCGCUUGUAACUGGCAAGCUAGAGUGUGGCAGAGGGGGGUGGAAUUCCAGGUGUAGCAGUGAAAUGCGUAGAGAUCGAGAGGAACACCUGCGGCGAAGGCGGGUAGCUGGGCCGACACUGACGCUGAGGCGCGAAAGCCAGGGGAGCGAACGGG
rnacentral:rRNA from 1 species